rnacentral:tRNA from 1 species
UCCUCAUUAGCAUAGUGGUUAGUGUCCCCACCUGUCACAUGGGAGACCUGGGUUUGAUUCCCUAAUAGGGAG